rnacentral:rRNA from 1 species
GACGGGGGGGGCAAGUGUUCUUCGGAUUCACUGGGCGUAAAGGGUGCGCAGGCGGCCAAGUGUGUUAGGCGUGAAAGCCCGGGGCUUAACCCCGGAAUUGCACCUAAAACUACAUGGCUAGAGCAUUGGAGAGGGUAGCGGAAUUCACGGUGUAGCAGUGAAAUGCGUAGAUAUCGUGAGGAACACCAGAGGCGAAGGCGGCUACCUGGACAAUUGCUGACGCUCAGGCACGAAAGCGUGGGGAGCAAAAGGG